UACCAGCUCUCCGAGUGGUAGGGAUGAUUAUUGGGCUUAAAGCGUCCGUAGCCGGCUUAGCAUGUCUCCUGUUAAAUUCAGCGACCUAAUCGUUGAGCCGCGGGAGAUACUACUAGGCUAGGAGGCGGGAGAGGUCGACGGUACUUCUGGAGUAGGGGUGAAAUCCUAUAAUCCCGGGAGGACCACCAGUGGCGAAGGCUGUCGACUAGAACGCGCUCGACGGUGAGGGACGAAAGCUGGGGGAGCGAACCGGACUAGAUACCCGGGUAGUCCCAGCUGUAAACGAUGCGGGCUAGGUGUUGGGGUGGCUACGUGCCACUUCAGUGCCGCAGGGAAGCCAUUAAGCCCGCCGCCUGGGGAGUACGGCCGCAAGGCUGAAACUUAGAGGAAUUGGCGGGGAGCACCACAAGGCGUGAAGCUUGCGGUUC
rnacentral:rRNA from 1 species